rnacentral:rRNA from 1 species
AACGAACGCUGGCGGCAGGCUUAACGCAUGCAAGUCGAGCGCCCCGCAAGGGGAGCGGCAGACGGGUGAGUAACGCGUGGGAAUCUACCCAUCUCUACGGAAUAACGCAUGGAAACGUGUGCUAAUACCGUAUACGUCCUUCGGGAGAAAGAUUUAUCGGAGAUGGAUGAGCCCGCGUUGGAUUAGCUAGUUGGUGGGGUAAAGGCCUACCAAGGCGAAGAUCCAUAGCUGGUCUGAAAGGAUGAUCAGCCACACUGGGACUGAGACACGGCCCAGACUCCUACGGGAGGCAGCAGUGGGGAAUAUUGGACAAUGGGCGCAAGCCUGAUCCAGCCAUGCCGCGUGAGUGAUGAAGGCCCUAGGGUUGUAAAGCUCUUUCACCGGUGAAGAUAAUGACGGUAACCGGAGAAGAAGCCCCGGCUAACUUCGUGCCAGCCGCCGCAGUAACAC